CUAUUAUGAAUACCCAAACGAGAAGAGGAGACACAGAAUAUUGGGAAGGAGAGAUCGAAUCAGGCUGAUUAAACCUCAGCAUCGGUGCCUUCUGCAGAUUCCCCUCCUUCUUGAAGUAGGCGUAGGCGCCGUCCCGGAAUUGUUAUCCGGUAUCUGACUAAUUAUGGUUCCAGGGGUCCAUUCACUUGCAAUUGUCAUGACUGAAACAGAAAGAGGAAGACUUGAGCAAUACAAAGGUCUUGAUGUUUUGGAAUUUAUAUAAGGGGUUCAAACCAGGUGAAUGGACAAUAUAUAUCACUGUAAGAAAGAGAUUGGUGUAGCAAUUUAUUUGGAUUUGCUUACUGAAUGAUUUUGAUUCCACGUGUAGUAAUGGAUCCAUUGCAAUCACUAUGCGGAAGGAAAAAACAAGGACUAUGAUACUCUUUAGACUAGCAAGAAACAUGGGACAACUGCAUUCUUUAUGUCAUCCUCAGUUGGUAUGUGUGUACAGUAAUGGCAACGAUAUUAUGCCUAGAAUAUUCCUUCACAAGGGAAGAGGUUUCAAGCAGUCAUUAGAGAUGGCAACUAGAGAAAGACUCGCCCCUCAACUUGCUACUGCCUAAACUGUUAAAGCAAUGUAUUGGUAGUUAAACUUAUAAAAGAUAUUUAUGCUGUUUGUG